rnacentral:lncRNA from 1 species
CGGGCAGUUUCAUCUUUCAUCACGAUAAUGGUCCUCAUCACUUACUUCACGUCAGUGAUGACAAAGUUCUGUUCAUUAAAAACAGAACUGUGUGGCCUCAUCCACCUUGAAUGUAUUCCUCAAUAUUUGUGUUUUUAGAUUCCUGUAUUACUGGAUAUUUAUAUUCCGGCAUAUUGUUGCCUGGUUCCUGCCAUCAUCUCAAGUUUGUCCCACGGUUUCUUUUGUUACAUCAAAGAUUCUACCGCCAAAAAGUUCUACUCUCAGUGGCUGUGUACACAGGCUUUGUGAGGAAAUCUGUCCUCACAUUGGACUUCUAA